GGGCCCUUAACUUUCUCGAGACUGGGAUGGGUUCUCAUUCGCCCACUAGGUGCAGUGGAUUAGCUUUACUAUCUCGUGCCAGUACCACAGCCACCACGUUUCAGCCGAGUUAGGCUCCUCAAUCUUGGGGUUACUAAAUCCGUGAAGUGGGGCUCCCCCGCCCGUAGUACCGACUAGUUUUUAAGUUGAUGUCGGUGGAUCAACCUGAGAUUACGUCUCUCCCACUAUUUUGGCUCCCCAGCCGGCUAGUGGUGGGCCUAAC